GACGAACGCUGGCGGCGUGCUUAACACAUGCAAGUCGAACGAAGUGGCGAACGGGUGAGUAACACGUGGGUAACCUACCCAUCAGAGGGGGAUAACACUUGGAAACAGGUGCUAAUACCGCGUAUAGGAUGAGCCAAGUGGGAUUAGGUAGUUGGUGAGGUAAAGGCGCACCAAGCCGACGAUCUCUAGCUGGUCUGAGAGGAUGACCGGCCACACUGGGACUGAGACUCGGCCCAGACUCUGACGGGAGGCAGCAGGGGGGAAGCUGCCGAAAUGGACGAAAGUCGGACGGAGCAACGCUGCGUGAGUGAGGACGGCCUUCGGGUUGUAAAGCUCUGUUAAUCGGGACGCGGUACCGGAAUAGAAAGCCACGGCUAACUACGUGCCAGCAGCCGCGGUAAUAC
rnacentral:rRNA from 1 species